AUGAAGUUUUCAAAUUGGGCUUCAGGACAAAAAUAUCAUCUUUCAACUGAAGACAAGCAACUUUAUUUGGAUAAUACAGUGUCUGACCUCUAGGCAGCUGCUUCUGCUUUGAGACGUGACAGACUGUGCAGUGAGUCUGUCUUCUCCAGUGACGAUGCCUGUGAUGUAUUAAGUAGAGGAACCAGCGCCUUUCUCCCAUGUCUGUGGUGAGAAGAGAAGGACCUGACACAGAGGAGU